AUAUAACCUUCAUAGUAACAUCCUUAACCAAAGAAAAUCACUAGCAAAGUUAAAUAAAGCUCAACGUAGAGAUUAAAGUUGCAAAUGGUCCACUUACAAAGUUAACACUUUUAAAUUAGUGCUAUAUACCCAUCAUUAAUUUUAUAAAAUUAGCAAGAAAAACAAAUUUUUGGCAAGAAAAACUCAUUUUAUAUGCUGGAGACAAAGACAAAGUAUACUCAUUGAAAUGUUAGAAGAGGAACUAGCUUUACUUCUCAAACUCAAAAAUAUGGAAUGCAUAAGGGCCAUUACAGUUAUUAUAAAGUCAAAGCAUCUCAUUUCAACCUUUUUGGGGAUAUUUCUUGUGAAUGUGAUAUACAGUAUCCUCAAGUCACUACAAAAACUAUAUUCACUGAAUAAGAACCUUUUGUUUUAUGCCAUACCUUUAGUUAGUUGUAUUAAAAUCAGCAUAAAUUUAGAUGUAUUUAUCAUAAGCUUCAUCCAGAUUUAAAAAUACAAUUCUUUUAUGAAAACAGAAAUGGUUUCCCUAUCA
rnacentral:misc_RNA from 1 species